rnacentral:rRNA from 1 species
UACGUAGGGUGCGAGCGUUGUCCGGAAUUAUUGGGCGUAAAGAGCUUGUAGGCGGUCUGUUGCGUCUGCUGUGAAAAUCCGGGGCUCAACCCCGGGCUUGCAGUGGGUACGGGCAGACUAGAGUGUGGUAGGGGAGACUGGAAUUCCUGGUGUAGCGGUGAAAUGCGCAGAUAUCAGGAGGAACACCGAUGGCGAAGGCAGGUCUCUGGGCCGCUACUGACGCUGAGAAGCGAAAGCAUGGGGAGCGAACAGG